rnacentral:rRNA from 1 species
UGGCCUACGGGGGGCAGCAGGCGCGAAAACUUUACCAUGCGGGCAACCGUGAUAAGGAAACCCCGAGUGCCAGCACAGGCUGGCUGUCCGCCAGUGUAAAUAACUGGUGAAGAAAGGGCCGGGCAAGACCGGUGCCAGCCGCCGCGGUAAUACCGGCGGCUCGAGUGGUGGCCACUAUUACUGGGCUUAAAGGGUCCGUAGCUUGAUAUGCAAGUCUCUUGAGAAAUCCGCCAGCUUAACUGGUGGGCGUUCAGGGGAAACUUCAUGUCUAGGGACCGGGAGAGGUGAGAGGUACUGCCGGGGUAGGAGUGAAAUCCUGUAAUCCCGGUGGGACCACCUAUGGCGAAGGCAUCUCACCAGAACGGGUCCGACAGUGAGGGACGAAAGCUGGGGGAGCAAACCGGAUUAGAUACCCCUGUAGUCCC